rnacentral:rRNA from 1 species
UACGGAGGAUCCAAGCGUUAUCCGGAUUCAUUGGGUUUAAAGGGUGCGUAGGCGGAAUGGUAAGUCAGUGGUGAAAGCCCCAAGCUCAACUUGGGAACUGCCAUUGAUACUGCCAAUCUUGAGUAUAAUUGAAGUGGGCGGAAUGUGUCGUGUAGCGGUGAAAUGCUUAGAUAUGACACAGAACACCGAUUGCGAAGGCAGCUCACUAAACUAUAACUGACGCUGAGGCACGAAAGCGUGGGGGAUCAAAACAGG